UCCCGCCCAGCGUCCCAGCGCAGCUCCCGGGGUCUCUGGGGCGCCUCCGGGGGUGAAGAGGCAAAGGUCCGCGAGCGAACAGUGUUGGGAGCCCAGGAGCCACUACUUAUGAAGCUGUUUGCAGAGCUUAUCCAAGGGAAGGACUCAUUCUUAAUGGGGGCCCUACCAUCCUACGGACAGAGGUCCUGGGCUAAUCACAAAGGGGUUGGAGAGAAGCCAGGAGCAGUGUGAUGGGACGGUUACACAUAUGGAACCUCUUGGGAUUGCUGCUCUGAUGCUGGCCCAGAACUCACAUGAUGGAGCACCAUCGAGCACUUCCUCUACCCAGUGUUGCGGUCGCUAGUGUUAUUGAGACGGACGAAGGAGACCCACCUCUGCUCGGGGAACGGGGUGGAAAAGUCUGUUAAGACCACUUUGUGUAUUAAACCGCUCUUAACGUGAGCACUCCCUUUGUAGCGAGCCAAGACCCCAGGGAACAGGCAGCUGUGAGUAAAAAGGCUGAACCGGCCACCCAGACUUACCCAUGCCAGCACCAGUCGUCUGGAACAUUCCACAGAUACUGUGGUGGUUUGAGUGAUAAUCCCUUUCCCCCAUGUUUGCACGCUUAGUCUCCAGUGGAUGGACUGUUUGGGAGGGAAUAGGGUGUGUGUCUUUGUUGGAGGAAGAUUGUCAAUGGUGGGUGGGUUUUGAGGUUUCAAACACCUGCCAGGCCUAGUUUGUCUAUCUCUGCCUGCAGCCUGGGCAUCAGGAUGUAAAGCUCUUCACAACUGUGCCAGCAUUGUGGUUAGAACAAGUGGACCCUCUGGAAGUGUAAGCAAACCAUUUUAUAAAAGUUGCCUUGGUCAUGGUGUCUCCUCGCAGCGACAGAACAGUGUCUAAAAGUCCUGAGAUAACUCUGAUGGCUAUUAUUGGUUGUCACCUUGACUACAUCAAAACUCAAGCUAGGGACACCUGUGAGGAAUUUUUUCUUUUCAGUUUUUCAAGACAGGGUUUCUGUGUAGCUUUGGCUGUCCUGGAACUCUUGAUGUAGACCAUGCAUUUUUUUUUUCUUAGUUAAAUCAUUUGAAGUGGGAAGACCGACCUUUAAUCCGUAUCUUUUGAGGUGGGACGAUCCACCUUUAAUCUGGGCCACAUCUUCUGCUGGCAGCCUAUAUGAAGACACUGAAGAAGGAAGUUCGUUCAUUUUCCCUGCCUGCUCUUGCUGGCAAGUCCAUUCUUUCACUGACAUUAGAGCCUGCUUCUUUGGGAAUCAGGCAUGUACUGAAGACCAGCUGAGACAGCCAGCCUCGUGGGGUCAACAGCUACUGGAUUCUUGGACUGCCCAUUGGUAGAUGGCCAUUGUUGAACUAGCUGGCCCACAGUCUGAAAGUGACUAGGUUGUAAGCCACUCUAGAGAACCUUGAGGAAUACACCACCCUGUCCUGCCUGAAUCCCCUACCUUCUGAAGGUGCAACCCGAGGCAAGUCUGGAGGACACAUUUAUACCUGACAUUAAACAAGCCUGGGGCAAAAGUUGUGACUGUGAUUGACCCAAACACAAGCCUCAAUGGCUGUAGCUGGUGGUAAGGGCAAAGCUGUGGUUCAGCCAAACAUCCCUUCUUGGCUCUGGAAGCAGGCUAGGUUUACUGAGUCAACAGGAAGACACUUUCCUGUGCUAUCUCUGCUGGUACUGCAACAUCUGGUGUCAUAAAGGGCUCCUCUUAAUGGACUUCCUUCCUUCAGUUGUGUAGGGUGGGAUGGUAAUGCCAAGAAAGAAGCAGGAGAGUAAUGGUGGCAUUUAUGUAGCUCAGCAGGCGGUGAGGUUGAGUUACAGAGGGGCAGCCAGCUGCAGCUAAACAGCCAGAGCAAGAAAAAAAAGGGAAGGGCAGCACAAAAGAGCAAAGGGCAGAAUGCUAAGACAGAUCAAAAACUAAUAAAAGCCUGUAGGGGGCCGGAGAUAUAAACUGUAGGUUUGGCCACUCAGAUAGUUCAUGAGAGCAGCCAAGAAACUCCAAAUGCACAGACCUAUACAAGAGCUGCAACACCAGCUGCUGCCAAGGGCUGAGACCUAGGCCUGUCUGGUUGCUAUGCUGCUACACACAGUUGGCAACUUCUGAAUCUUGGCUUUGAAGGCUCACACCAGAGCUGUAACACCAAGUCUGCAGCCCUUCACUGUGGACUGCCCCUUCCGCUCUCUGCUAACACCUAGAGAACCAGUGACUGCCCAAGACCAGCUCCUAUGGAGCCUCUGCUGUCAGGGCAUCAUAGUUCUGUUCCUUCGUAGUCUGGGUCUGCAGUUCAUAACCAAAACCUAAAAACCACUACACUUGAGUAAAACUGUGUUGUGAAAAUUUUAAUAUCUAGAGUAAUAUGAAUACCCUUUAAAAAGGAGCAAGGCACAGACAUUGGUCAGAGCAAGGACCAUAAUUACUAAAAACAUUUUGGAAUCUAGAAGGAUCACACAGUUAAUCCUGAGAAUGGACAAGGGGGAGGAUAUGGGAGGGAACUGGGAAUGUCAGGCUACUAGACUAGAAAAAGACGCUGCAGUUUUUCGUUUUUUACAAUUCACUUUCCUUUAAAAAUACAUGUCAGAGACUAUCUUUUUGUUGG